GAUGAAGAACGUAGCGAAAUGCGAUAAGUAAUGUGAAUUGCAGAAUUCAGUGAAUCAUCGAAUCUUUGAACGCACAUUGCGCCCGCCAGCAUUCUGGCGGGCAUGCCUGUUCGAGCGUCAUUUCAACCCUCGAGCCCCCCCGGGGGCCUCGGUGUUGGGGGACGGCACACCAGCCGCCCCCGAAAUGCAGUGGCGACCCCGCCGCAGCCUCCCCUGCGUAGUAGCACACACCUCGCACCGGAGCGCGGAGGCGGUCACGCCGAAAAACGCCCAACUUCUGAAUGUUGACCUCGAAUCAGGUAGGAAUACCCGCUGAACUUAAGCAUAUCAUAAGCGGAGGA
rnacentral:misc_RNA from 1 species